ACGCUCGACACCUACGGGGGGCAGCAGUGGGGAAUAUUGCACAAUGGGGGAAACCCUGAUGCAGCGACGCCGCGUGAAGGAAGAAGUAUUUCGGUAUGUAAACUUCUAUCAGCAGGGAAGAAAAUGACGGUACCUGACUAAGAAGCCCCGGCUAACUACGUGCCAGCAGCCGCGGUAAUCUGAGGCGGGCUGGCAAGGC
rnacentral:rRNA from 1 species